rnacentral:tRNA from 1 species
GGGGAUAUAGCUCAGUGGCACAAGUGCUUGCCUGGCAAGUGUAAGGCCCUGAGGUUGAUUCUUAGUAUCCCCC